rnacentral:rRNA from 1 species
ACUCAAAGGAAUUGACGGGGACUUGCACAAGCAGUGGAUUAUGCGGUUUAAUUCGACGACAAACGAAAAACCUUACCAAGGUUAGAAAUCUAACUGACGAGGAGUAGAAAUAUUCCUCUUCCGCAAGGACAGUUAGACAGGUGAUGCAUGGCCGUCGUCAGUUCGUGAUUUGAAUUGUUCCCUUAAGUGGGGUAACGAACGCAACCCUCGUUGCCAGUUACAAGUGUCUGGCGAGACUGCCCCCGUUUGUGCGCGUGAAUAUGAAAGUAUUCGCGAAUACAAACGGGGGAGGAAGGCGAGGAUGACGCCAGGUCAGCAUGUCCCUCUGAUACCUUGGGCCACACGCAUAAUACAAUCGCAUCUACAACGGGUCGCGACGCCGUAAGGCUGAGCUAAUCCUAAGAAAAGGUGCGUCAGUUCGGAUUGGGGGCUGCAACUCGACCCCAUGAAGUUGGAAUUGCUAGUAAUCGCGGGUCAGCUAUACCGCGGUGAAUACGUUCUCAAGUCUUGUACACACCGCCCGU